UACCACUUGGUAAAAAACUAUCUCGUAAAAGGCACGGUUUAGUAGGUCAAUUCUCGAAAGACCGUGAGGGACUUAAAAG
rnacentral:sRNA from 12 species